rnacentral:rRNA from 1 species
UACGUAGGUGGCUAGCGUUGUCCGGAUUUACUGGGCGUAAAGAGCGCGCAGGCGGUCGUUCAAGUCGAGUGUGAAAGCCCCCGGCUCAACUGGGGAGGGUCACUCGAUACUGAUCGACUCGAAGGCAGAAGAGGGAAGCGGAAUUCCCGGUGUAGUGGUGAAAUGCGUAGAUAUCGGGAGGAACACCAGUGGCGAAGGCGGCUUUCUGGUCUGCUCUUGACGCUGAGGCGCGAAAGCUAGGGGAGCGAACGGG